rnacentral:lncRNA from 1 species
AACAACUAUUAAGCGAUUGAAAUAGAUUUCGUGCUUAAAUGUGGGGCUGAGCUGAUUUAACAUUAUUACCUUGAUAUUCAUGUAGUUGUCUCAUAUAUUUUGUUGUGGACCUGCAGAGUUGGAGACCUCCACUGAGUAGGCAUUUGAUGCCAAUUCUUGCACUAGGAUCCUAUGAUUUAAAAAAAGAAUUGACCUGUCAUCUGUGUAAUAUCUGCAGUGGCCAUUAAAAUGCUAAAUCAUCUGAGAAUGUACUACGUAUACAGUUCCUGAAAACGUAUGAAAAGCACUGUGUGCGGUCUCAGAGUUCUGUGUGCCCAGCUGUCGAGAAGGCUUUGAAAACCAGCAUAGAGAAUGAGCAGAUUCUCAGGAAGCUGAUGCUCGUAAGCCCUGCCGUCUCCCCAACAGGCUUCCCAGAAGUUUCUCUUGAACCUUUGCUCAAGACAAUUUGAGAUGAGCGUUACAUGCUGGGAAGAGAACUUUGCAUCUGAGGGAUGAAGCUGAAAAAUUCAGAUGCUGCAAGCCUAGAAUCAAGAAAAACAAAAAAGGAUCUUCUGGAGCUGGUCCUUGGUUAAUCAAGUUGCAUUUGUCCGAUAAUGGCAUAGAUGGAAGAGGGAAAGAAGGAGAAAGAGGUGUAUUGGAAUUCACUCAACUUUUAACAUACUUUAUAAAAUAUUCUGACCACUUAAAGGAAAUAGAUCUUGGCAAUAAUGUUCUGGGAGAAAUUGCUGCUACUCAUAUACUGGAAGCAUUAAAGGACAGAAACAAAGGUAAACUGCCAAACUUACAAAUUAUAGUCAUCCCACAGAUUUCUUCAGAUACCUUCACAUCCAUCUGGGAAAACAGCAAGAAGUUUGGCUCUGCCCAUAAGAAAAAGAAGAAGGUAAGCAAAGAAUAGUCUA